AGCCUCAGACAUCACCAAGGCUGAUUCCACCUGCCAGAAUAUCAGUUUCCAAGGGGAACCAUCACAGAAAAUUCCAGGAGAGAAGGAGCCAUGACCCUGCUGCUUGGGUCCAUGGGCAGAAACCUAACCCAAGACUCAAGAUCCAGCCAGUGGGGUCUUCCUGCAGCACUCUGCCACCAGUGAGGUCCUUCCACAAUGAUGCUCAGGAGAAGCAGAGUGGGAUUUGGGGGCCAACGCUGCUGAGAUUUCGAGAGGGUUCUCCACAUUCUGCUGUGCAAGCCACUUCCCCUGGCUGUGCCAUACCCUUUCUGAGAUGGUCAACCAACUGCCCUGCACAGAAAGCUCCAGAAGAGCCCGGAGGUCAGUGGGCAUAGAGGCGCCUUGUCCCCUCUGUGACUCCUAUCACGUGGUCUACUUACAUAGCUUUGGACAGUGAUGUGUGUGCUCCACAGCUGAUUUUCUACGUUUUCCCACAAGAGACAUUCACUUCAGCCUCCAGAGGAACACCAGUCCUGUCACUGCUCCACUAAAGCCCUUCUGGCCACAGAUUUCCACCUCUCAGAGACUUCUGAGAGGAAGGAGAGGGCAUGUGUGACCUGGCUUCACAUGGGCCUAGGAAGUGGCUUCUGUCUGUGCUGUGCUGCGGCCUGGGAAGGUGUGUUGGGUUUGCCUUGGAGCAGCUCCAAGCUGUGACUUAGCCUCAUCACCUGCUGUCUCCAAGCUGCAUUUCUUGACCCCGCUGUGAGGCACCUCAGUUUACCACUUCCUCCUGGAGGACUCCAGCAUGGCCAGAAAAUACUGGCUGCAUUACUCAAGA